rnacentral:rRNA from 1 species
UGCUCCUUCCCAAUCCUUCAUUUCUAAUCAGAGGAGAGUGAGGCGAGCUGGCCGGGCUGCUCUUUGUCGGGGACGUCGCUGUUUACUUGCCCGCGCCAACGGCCAGCUACUCGCCGGGAUUCGCGGUGUGCCCAUGUACAGCCGCCUUCCAGAAGCCAUCUGAGGGGCGGCCCCGCGACGCUCACGCGGAGGUCCCGACUUAGAAGUUGGACGAGCCUGUGUGGCUCGCGGCUGAGCUGCUCUUCGCCGGGGUCACCGUCGUCUCCGUGCGCCACGCUGACAGGAAGCUAGUUGCCGAGUUCCCGGGGAUUCGCUGCGCACCCAGGUACUCCGCCGCCUCCCCAGUAGCUGUCCGAGCUGCGGAUCGCGACGUGCAUGCGAAUGUGCAAUGGCUCCGUUGGUCCGAUGAGCAUGGCUGCCGGCCAUGGCCGUGGUCGUGUGCCAUUGCCUCUCCUGCUGGAAGGACGGAGGCUCGCGGCCAAGAUCCGGGGAGAAGCUCCGUGACAACGAGCUCCUCUAGGAGCAGGGCGAGCACGUACUCCAAGAGCACGAUGACGACGACAAGCUUGAGGCUCCUUCGGGCGACCUUAACGAGGAGGAGGGUGGCAGCUGGAUGAGGGUUAAAAUCACGCCGGAGUCACCGUGCUGUCCUCUGACGACACAGCCGGCGCCCCAUGAUCUUCAGGACGACGGCGGCGCGACAGCUGGACCUCCAUGCCAGCCUGUCCAGCCAAACUCCACAAGCUGCAGCUCACGAAUCCAAUCCAAGAAACGUCCUGCCAGCUAGUGCCAUGGUUCCCCAACGGAAGGAGCAGGGAGUUCUAGCAACGCAUUAUACAAGGAGCUAUGGCAUGCUUGGGCUAGGCUGUUGAUCACAGUGCCUCGCCAAGGUGAAAUGAUUUACUACUUUCCGCACGUUUAUAUUGGAUCCAUGUAUUUAAAGUUCAUCCACGUACAUAUUUAGAACCUGAUAUUCUCUAGUGUGGUCAUGUAUUAGUUGAAAAAUGAAUAUCCAUCAUAGGGUACCACCUUACAUACAGUGCUUCUAGCCUUACAGGCCUCACCAGAAGUCCCUUUGCCAAGCUUCACUGUAAUGACUAACUUACUACUUGACAAACAUCUUUGCUAACUGAUAAAAGCAACAACGUAGGUAAAUAAACUGAUUUUCACAUGUUAUGACAAACUGAUUUCUUCCAGCUGACAAAAAACCAGAGAAAACAGAGUACUAAUACAUAGAGAGACUGUAUAAUUGUUAAGGCUACUUUAUGCAUUAAUUUGGGAAUAGAUCAAACAUAUCAGGAUAUACAUGAGUUGACUGCGAAGGAAACAAAUCAUCAUCUACUGAUACUGUACUAAAUGAACAUUAUCCAUUCACAUCUCCAGUAUUAUACUAUUAUACAUGACAAAGAAUGACUAACAGUACUCGUUCUUCUCUUAAAGCUGUCAAGAAAAUACAGUCAGUAGAAAAGUUAGAAGGAUUUUGAGCACUAAACUCCAGUUGUCAAUACACAGGACUGUCUACCGAUCUCCAACCGGUUAAUUUAAGGAUCAUCACAUUUACCAAUAAGGGGGCAAUUGUAUGUAAGAUGUGAUUUGCUUGCAUGCAUUUCAUAGAUAAAUAUGUGCAUAAAAGUUAGGACUUGCCUACAUACCUGGAUAUUUACAUUCACAUACAGAGACAAUAUAUCUUCAAUUCACAUGUAGGACACAAGAAUGUAUAGUCACAAACUCACAAUUCCAUGGCAGCAAAAAUCUUCGAUAAUCUGUGAACUCCAUAAACAAUGAUAUUAUAGAUCUCUUGUUUUGUUGAUAUAUUGACAUAGAGAAGAAGGAGAUUUAGUCUACAGGAGAGAAGCAACCAUCAAUGGUGUUAAUGUCACCUCUCCAUAGUACCAUCGGUCCAAAGGCACUCAAGUACAAAUCAAAACACAAAAAUGACAAAUGGCGCUGGGAGUUUGGAACCCACCCAUCCGAUUUAGAUGAUUUGGGAAAGAGAAAUGAUUUUGCCCUCUUGUGGAUUUAAAAUAGAAUUAGAAAAGUUCACUGAAAAUGAUGAAUAGGUGUUUUAAGCUCACCCAACUUCCUUAGUUUUGAAGAUGAACAAAUCCCUCUCAAAACAUAAUUUAAUUCAUCAUAUUUAUGCAGACAUUGCCAAUUCACAGGCGCGCUUUGUAGACUCAAGACCUGUAUUAUAGGUGUGCUAAUGCCUAAAGUGGCAGAACAAAUCAUGCUCCUAUGCACAUCACAACAGACAUGCAUAAACACAUCACAAAUUUCUGAAGAAAAGGGUCGGGGUGUCACAAGGCCACAUGAUUUUCAUAGGAAAGACUUCUGGUCAUGUGUCAUCUAAAAGUAUAUGCAUGCAAUGACCUUUUCUCUCUUGAUCUUGGAAACAUCUAACUGCCUGGAAAGAUGCUAGAAGCAUGAUGCAGACCCGCGGCAAAGUAUUUUUCCCCUAAGAAGCUACAGAGAGAGAGCAGUGAGCCAGUGAUCCUCACCUAGCUAGUGCGCGUGCACACACACACACACACACACACACACAAACAUCAAGCCAACACACCAUACACGCAGCAGCAGCACGCAAGCAACAAACACGCGUGUGGCGCAGCGCACACGGAGCCAGAGAUACAACCAAUAAAGCGUGGAGCAGACGGUCAUGCUUGCCGUCGAGCCCUUCACACUAAAAGGGAUCAAGGAGUAGGACAUUUCUAUUCGUAAACGUUCUCAUCGUAGGGAGUAAUUAUCAAACAGAGAAACAAAAGGAAAAGAAAAGCAAGAAGUUCCCUUUCUCCAUCCAUUUUUUAUUUUCUUUCACUUAUAUACAUCUGACCAACACACAAGCACUUUAUAAAACAUAAUUCCAAUUCAAGAACACGGUUGAAAAGGAAGAACAACUCAUCAUGCUGUUUGAUUUCUUCUUGGACCCAUGUUUCCUAUCACCAGUCCCCUUCAUGCCACCCAAAUCCUCAUUGAUCUCUGCAAAUCUUUAAACGAAAGCAUCCAAAGAACCAAUAUGUAUAUACUCCCUCUUAGUACAAAGUUGAGUCACUUAUUUUGGGACGGAGGGAGUACAAAGUAGAAAAAUUAAAUUAAUAAAAGCUAUAUAAUUGAUGGAAGGAACUUCAUUUUAUAAUGGAAUUCACUCUAUCAGGCAAACUGUGAUGUUUUGGCAUCCACGAUCAAAACAUCAACAUAAAAUUCAAAUAUUUAGACAUGACAAUAAGUGAGACAUGAUGUCGUAAAAAGCAGAGUUUUUGUCAAUCAUUCAUGUGGGACAAAAUACAUAGUUGAUAUGCUUAAUAAUAAGUUAACAAAGAUGACACCCAAACACUAAAGAUUUGGUUUCACCGUAACACAUUAAUCUUUGCCAUGUACAGUCUAGCCCUCAAUACCUGACAUCUUAUUUUACAAUGGAACUCUCUUUUCCCUAGGCAAGCAGCAGUAAUGUAGCAGUAGCACUUCUUUCUCAUGUACUCAUGUUGGACAGAACAAAUAUUAGAUGCUGAAAAUCAUGUUAUACAUGAAGCCAAAUAAGCAUUUUUGCAUAAACCAAAAGGAUAAACUCACCUUGGGGUAGACUGCAAUCAUCUGAUAACCACAUCAAUCAUGUAUAAUCUAUCCAAACAGAUUCAUCGGUCAAAAUAUGACAAAUAGCAUCCAUCGUGUAGCUUUGUUAAGGGUACUGUUUGAUGUCGGGCUGCAAAGCAUAAACACUUGUUACUACAUUUAAAUCUAUGCUGCUAAAAAACAAGUAAGCUCAUCUUAUCAUGUAAAUGAAUCUAUGAAAGAACUCCAUUUUUUCUACUACUGCUUUGUUCCUUGCAUCAUUCUGGAACAUGGUUCCUAGAUAUUCUCAAAAGGCAAUGACAUUCUUUGCAAAUCCUGGUCAUAAAUAUCUUUUCUUACCUGGAGAUGAUGCUUUGACUGCAUAUGUUGAGACCAAGCUGCACAAAGCCCCUCCAUGUUGAAUUGGCUCAAUGAACCACAUCUGUCUUUGUACAACGAUUGCCGAUUGGCUAAGUUUCUGCAUUGCUGCAAAUGCCUGUAAGAACAUAACAAUCUUAGACAGAUUCGCAAGACCAAUAAAAAUACAGUAGGUGAGACAUGUGCAGAAACAAAGUAGAAUCAUAAGUUCAUGAUAUAUGUACAAUUAGAGCAGGUCCGGGAGUGGUGUGGCGCGACGACACCCGCGAAACCACAGGCCAUCGUCGAGUCGGCGCGGGCGUGGAUCUGCACACCAGCGAGGAGCAUGCGUUGGGUGGAGAAGCGACGGCGGAGAGGAGCCGGAGUCGAAGUCGCCCAGUCCUGGCCUCCUCCCCUCGAUGCGCCAGCCGGUGGCGAAGGCGCGCUCCACUUGACCUCCACUCGUCGCUCCGCCUGGCCGCGAGGUGGACUUGCCAUGGAUGCGCCGCCGUGGUCGCUGGGACCUCUCUGCUGCACCUCCUGCAGAGCUAGGGUUUCGGGCGCGGGGAGGGAAGGAGAGCUGUAGAGGUUGGGCGCCGGCCAGGAGGUGGAAGGAGGAGUGCGCUGUGGCGUCAAGCCGUGGAGGGGCUGGUAGCGCGGCGGUUGUUGCACGCGCGGCGGCUAGGGUUUCGUGGGAGGGGGCGGGGAAGAGAGGAGAGCAGGCGGGAGGGGAGGGAAACGACCGGUGCUUGCUCUCCACGAUCUCACCCGAUCGAUAUUGGAGACUUUUCCAACCACACGAAAUUACGAAAAUGCCCUCGGUGGCCGCCCAGUUUUACACGCGGUGGCGCAGCUGUUUUGACACUAUUCAUUGCAAUAGUGUCUCCUUUCAAUCCGACGGCCUAGAUCGUCCGGGAACGAGAUCCGACGGACAAAAACGGAUCAAGCAACCCGAUCCAACGGCCAGGAAGCCUAAAUCGCUGAGGAAGCGGGAGGAUGACCUGCAUUCUUAUUUCUCGAUUGGCGGAAAAUGGAACUAGCAAGGCAGGAGCAUGCGAAGCGGCAAUAACGACAAACCGCGGCCCCGCCGUCCGGUCAAGAUGCGGCGCGGCAAUCCCGGGGAGCAGGAGUGGAGUAGGGUUGUCCCAUCCGUGCACCGGUGUGGCGGAAACAAACUCCUCCCUAUGUUAAGCCACACAAACAUGAACCUGCCCAUCACGUGGUCGCAUGAUACUCCUAACACGACCUAUUAGCGCACUGAUGCUCGUUUUGCCGGUAGCAAGGUGCAUGCUUCACAAAUCUGAAUCGCAGCCUAGUCCAGUCAAAGAUGCGCCGCGUGACACCACCACCACUUUGCAUUUCCAUGUUACGAGAUGCAAAUUACACUGGUACUAUAAGAAAGUGCCAUCAUCGGAGUAUCCUGCCCUUGUAUUGUGUUUUGUGUCGGCACAUUUGUUUUCGCUCUGCCCACAGUUUCUGCAAAACCUCAGCCAUGUACAAAGAGAGGCUUUUUUUCUGCACCAACAGAGGUUUUGACUGAACGGACACACUCAUUGCACCUACUAUAUGUUCGGUUGAAUGCUUAUUUGAAACAGCCGAAUUUUACUCCGUGAUCCUUGUCGACCUAGUUAAUCUCGACCUAUACCUAUAGGCGCGGCGUACUUUCACAUGGCAAGCAAGCGAUCGGAUCGGCGCCGCAUCUGUUACAUGUGAACUUGCAUACGACGGGCUCCAUAAUAACUUUGUUUUAUGGAAGUGCCACCACGCUUGACCGCAUAAACCUACACGAUCGUCCGUUUAAUCUUGGAUCCAGAUCACUGCAGGCCUGACCAUUAAGCCCAAAUCUCAUCCAUCCUAGCCAAACCUCCGUCUUUAACCACUGCGUCCACUGACAUUCUCCGCUUGCUUGCACACACGUCCACCUGACCAGCGAAUCGACCGCUCACAGUGCUAGUCAUGGCCAGAUUCCGAUCGUUGCAGUCCGCAGCUCUCCUGCCAGUCUUCACGCUUCUUCUUCUGCUGCUGCUGCUGAACUUGUCGCCGGUGUGGGCGGCAGCGCACCGCUCCUCCUGGAAGCUGUUGGUGACCGCGGCCCGAAACUCGUCAUCGGACGGGCAGCAAGACAUGGACGUCGGCAGCUGGCGGACGGUGGAGCCGUUCAGGGGAGCCGGGGCUGACCUCGGGCGCCGUCGGGUGCCGAAAACCCGUGCAAAUCCGUCGCACAACUAGCUAGUGUAGCAGCAGUAGGGCCAAAGGGCGAGAGGUGUGGUGAGAUCGAUCCUGAUCAACCCUGCGGUAGCCGAGAAAGAUCAUCAAGCUAGGCGGAAGUUGGCACAGUUUUUUUUUUGGGAUGAUGGCAGAGGUUUAAUAUAGAGAUUAUUACAAGUUCAGUAGCUAGCUACAUUAGUUUUUUGGUUGUACAUCAUAUUGUACUUUUGAUUAACGUAUGGAUGUAUGUAUGUGAUAUUAAGUUAAUUUAACGCAAUUUUUAUAAGCAGAAGAAUCGCUUUGAAAUUAGCAAGGCCAUGUAACAGUUAAUUUUGAGUGUACAAUAUAGUGACCUGACUGUUUCUUUUAUCGAAAAAUCUGUUUAGCG